UACGAAGGGGGCGAGCGUUGUUCGGAAUUACUGGGCGUAAAGGGCGCGCAGGCGGCUCUGCAAGUCAGAUGUGAAAUCCCCGGGCUUAACCUGGGAACUGCAUUUGUGACUGGCGAGCUAGAGUAUGGCAGAGGGGGGUAGAAUUCCACGUGUAGCAGUGAAAUGCGUAGAGAUGUGGAGGAAUACCGAUGGCGAAGGCAGCCCCCUGGGCCAAUACUGACGCUCAUGCACGAAAGCGUGGGGAGCAAACAGG
rnacentral:rRNA from 1 species